GGUUAAGCGACUAAGCGUACACGGUGGAUGCCCUGGCAGUCAGAGGCGAUGAAGGACGUGCUAAUCUGCGAUAAGCGUCGGUAAGGUGAUAUGAACCGUUAUAACCGGCGAUUUCCGAAUGGGGAAACCCAGUGUGAUUCGUCACACUAUCAUUAACUGAAUCCAUAGGUUAAUGAGGCGAACCGGGGGAACUGAAACAUCUAAGUACCCCGAGGAAAAGAAAUCAACCGAGAUUCCCCCAGUAGCGGCGAGCGAACGGGGAGCAGCCCAGAGCCUGAAUCAGUGUGUGUGUUAGUGGAAGCGUCUGGAAAGGCGUGCGAUACAGGGUGACAGCCCCGUACACAAAAAUGCACAUACUGUGAGCUCGAUGAGUAGGGCGGGACACGUGGUAUCCUGUCUGAAUAUGGGGGGACCAUCCUCCAAGGCUAAAUACUCCUGACUGACCGAUAGUGAACCAGUACCGUGAGGGAAAGGCGAAAAGAACCCCGGCGAGGGGAGUGAAAAAGAACCUGAAACCGUGUACGUACAAGCAGUGGGAGCACGCUUAGGCGUGUGACUGCGUACCUUUUGUAUAAUGGGUCAGCGACUUAUAUUCUGUAGCAAGGUUAACCGAAUAGGGGAGCCGAAGGGAAACCGAGUCUUAACUGGGCGUUAAGUUGCAGGGUAUAGACCCGAAACCCGGUGAUCUAGCCAUGGGCAGGUUGAAGGUUGGGUAACACUAACUGGAGGACCGAACCGACUAAUGUUGAAAAAUUAGCGGAUGACUUGUGGCUGGGGGUGAAAGGCCAAUCAAACCGGGAGAUAGCUGGUUCUCCCCGAAAGCUAUUUAGGUAGCGCCUCGUGAAUUCAUCUCCGGGGGUAGAGCACUGUUUCGGCAAGGGGGUCAUCCCGACUUACCAACCCGAUGCAAACUGCGAAUACCGGAGAAUGUUAUUACGGGAGACACACGGCGGGUGCUAACGUCCGUCGUGAAGAGGGAAACAACCCAGACCGCCAGCUAAGGUCCCAAAGUCAUGGUUAAGUGGGAAACGAUGUGGGAAGGCCCAGACAGCCAGGAUGUUGGCUUAGAAGCAGCCAUCAUUUAAAGAAAGCGUAAUAGCUCACUGGUCGAGUCGGCCUGCGCGGAAGAUGUAACGGGGCUAAACCAUGCACCGAAGCUGCGGCAGCGACGCUUAUGCGUUGUUGGGUAGGGGAGCGUUCUGUAAGCCUGUGAAGGUGUGCUGUGAGGUAUGCUGGAGGUAUCAGAAGUGCGAAUGCUGACAUAAGUAACGAUAAAGCGGGUGAAAAGCCCGCUCGCCGGAAGACCAAGGGUUCCUGUCCAACGUUAAUCGGGGCAGGGUGAGUCGACCCCUAAGGCGAGGCCGAAAGGCGUAGUCGAUGGGAAACAGGUUAAUAUUCCUGUACUUGGUGUUACUGCGAAGGGGGGACGGAGAAGGCUAUGUUGGCCGGGCGACGGUUGUCCCGGUU
rnacentral:rRNA from 1 species